UUACGGCCAUAUCAAGACGAAACACCGGUUCCCGUACGAAGUUAAGCAACCUCGAGCUUGGUCAGUAUCUAGAUGGGUGAUCGCUUGGAAAUAACUGGUGCUG